GUUCUCUGCUGAGUCUCACCGGGUCGCCUUCCUCGAGCACUUUGAUUAUUGAUCCAGCUGAACCCGACUGGAGAGCUGAGGCUGCGCGUCCCAGGGGUCGGUGGGCGGGGUUGAGCGUCGGCUAGGGCGACGGUGCUGGGGAAAAGAGGGUGAUAAACUUCAAGGAGGGCGCCGCGGGUUCCUCUGUACUUCGGGAUCGCCC
rnacentral:lncRNA from 1 species